rnacentral:rRNA from 1 species
UACGUAGGUGGCGAGCGUUAUUCGGAUUCACUGGGCGUAAAGGGUCCGUAGGGGGUCUGCCAAGUCUGAUGUGAAAUCCCGCGGCUCAACUGCGGAACUGCAUUGGAUACUGGCGGGCUGGAGUCUGCGAGGGGUGAGCGGAAUUCCUGGUGUAGCGGUGGAAUGCGUAGAUAUCAGGAAGAACACCGAUGGCGAAGGCGGCUCACUGGCGCAGUACUGACCCUGAGGGACGAAAGCGUGGGGAGCAAACAGG